UACGAAGGGGGCUAGCGUUGCUCGGAAUCACUGGGCGUAAAGCGCACGUAGGCGGACUCUUAAGUCGUGGGUGAAAUCCUGGAGCUCAACUCCAGAACUGCCUUCGAUACUGAGAGUCUCGAGUCCGGGAGAGGUGAGUGGAACUGCGAGUGUAGAGGUGAAAUUCGUAGAUAUUCGCAAGAACACCAGUGGCGAAGGCGGCUCACUGGCCCGUACUGACGCUGAGGUGCGAAAGCGUGGGGAGCAAACAGG
rnacentral:rRNA from 1 species